UUAGCUCUCUUUGCCUUUUGGCUUAGAUCAAGUGUAGUAUCUGUUCUUUUCAGUUUAAUCUCUGAAACGGACCUACGGGUCCUUUUUUUGAUUAUUCCAAUUUUUUCAACCCUGCCGGUGGUCAUUGGGCUUGCUCAAUGGCCACAUUGGCACAGUGUCGUCUGUAUUGCACUCUCUCAGACAGAUGCGAAUUUCG
rnacentral:snRNA from 1 species